UUUCCAGACUCCUACGGGAGGCAGCAGUGGGGAAUAUUGCACAAUGGGGGGAACCCUGAUGCAGCGACGCCGCGUGAGUGAAGAAGUAUCUCGGUACGUAAAGCUCUAUCAGCAGGGAAGAAAAUGACGGUACCUGACUAAGAAGCCCCGACUAACUACGUGCCAGCAGCCGCGGUAAUACGUAGGGGGCAAGCGUUAUCCGGAUUUACUGGGUGUAAAGGGAGCGUAGACGGCACUGCAAGUCCGGAGUGAAAGCCCAAGGCUUAACCAUGGGACUGCUCUGGAAACUGUGGAGCUUGAGUGCGGGAGGGGCAGGCGGAAUUCCUAGUGUAGCGGUGGAAUGCGCAGAUAUCGGGAAGAACACCGAUGGCGAAGGCAGCUCUCUGGGCCGUCACUGACGCUGAGGCGCGAAAGCUGGGGGAGCGAACAGGAUUAGAUACCCGCGUA
rnacentral:rRNA from 1 species